rnacentral:rRNA from 1 species
GACGAACGCUGGCGGCGUGCCUAAUACAUGCAAGUUGAGCGCUGAAGGUUGGUACUUGUACCAACUGGAUGAGCAGCGAACGGGUGAGUAACGCGUGGGGAAUCUGCCUUUGAGCGGGGGACAACAUUUGGAAACGAAUGCUAAUACCGCAUAAAAACUUUAAAAACAAGUUUUAAGUUUGAAAGAUGCAAUUGCAUCACUCAAAGAUGAUCCCGCGUUGUAUUAGCUAGUUGGUGAGGUAAAGGCUCACCAAGGCGAUGAUACAUAGCCGACCUGAGAGGGUGGUCAGCCACAUUGGGACUGAGACACGGCCCAAACUCCUACGGGAGGCAGCAGUAGGGAAUCUUCGGCAAUGGACGAAAGUCUGACCGAGCAACGCCGCGUGAGUGAAGAAGGUUUUCGGAUCGUAAAACUCUGUUGGUAGAGAAGAACGUUGGUGAGAGUGGAAAGCUCAUCAAGUGACGGUAACUACCCAGAAAGGGACGGCUAACUACGUG